AUGGUGUUCCCUAGCGGCGGCGACGUGGGUGUUGGGCGGGGGUUUUCUGAUGUGGGAAGGGGCACGGGGUGGUGUGGGAAACAGUCGGCUGCGGGACCGUGAGCAUUGGGUGGUAGUGGCUUAAGGAAGAAAAGUGAAAAAGAAAGAAGGAAGAGCGGCG